rnacentral:rRNA from 1 species
CACGUAGGGUACGAGCGUUGUCCGGAAUCACUGGGCGUAAAGCGCACGUAGGCGGAUUGUUAAGUCGGGGGUGAAAUCCUGAGGCUCAACCUCAGAACUGCCUUCGAUACUGGUAAUCUCGAGUCCGGAAGAGGUUGGUGGAACAGCUAGUGUAGAGGUGAAAUUCGUAGAUAUUAGCUAGAACACCAGUGGCGAAGGCGGCCAACUGGUCCGGUACUGACGCUGAGGUGCGAAAGCGUGGGGAGCAAACAGG